rnacentral:rRNA from 1 species
GGAGGAUCCAAGCGUUAUCCGGAUUUAUUGGGUUUAAAGGGUGCGUAGGCGGCAGAUUAGGUUAGAGGUGAAAUUCCGAGGCUCAACCUUGGCACUGCUUCUGAUACUGGUUUGCUAGCGAGUAGAUGCUGUAGGCGGAAUGUGUGGUGUAGCGGUGAAAUGCAUAGAGAUCACACAGAACACCGAUUGCGAAGGCAGCUUACAAAUCUAUAUCGGACGCUGAGGCACGAAAGCGUGGGGAGCAAACAGGACUAGAUACCCUGGUAGUCCACGCAGUAAACGAUGAUAACUCGUUGUCGGCGAUAUACAGUCGGUGACCAAGCGAAAGCGAUAAGUUAUCCACCUGGGGAGUACGUUCGCAAGAAUG